UCAUCGCUCGUGUCUAAGGGCCAUGCCCAUGUCUCUUGAGGACGGUGUAGUCACAUCUCCCGCCCUACUGCUUCCAAGACAUCAUCUUUGCAUUUUUUACGGCUGCGUGGUAAUCCACGGUGUGGCUGUACUUUCUUUUUUUUUAAAUCUACCUAUUAUCCUGUACGUCAGCGUAUUUCCAGCAUGUCUGUUCAGAGGGUCCAGAGGCCACGACACCCCAGGAGCAGUGAACAUGAUUAACGCCCGGAUCUCAUUUCUAAAUACGAUUUGCCACUAAAUGUAACGAAGGCUCUUUGGAGAAGUGUUUGAUUGCAGAGCCAGGCAGAGAAAGGACAGGAUGAGCCUGGGAGACUGUUGCAUCGGAGAGUAAGGAAGAGCUUACGGCAUGAUGAGGGCAGUCACGGGACGGGGACCAGCCCGGCGGCCAAAGCCUAGGACAAUCUGAGCAUCGAGACAUGACAAUGACAAACUAAAACCCGCUGAGUACGAUAUCAAUCCAUGAGCCUAUACGUACACGGGGAGAACGUGAAAAUUCCUUCCUUAGCAGAAUUUCACCGGUCCACGCAGAAUUAUUGAUAAAUCCGGAAAAUCACCUUUUGGCUGCCACCAUAGUGAUACUUCAGGCAAGAAUAACUGACCGAUGCUAAAACCAGCGAGUGAAAGUUGGAUGAGAAAGAAGAUAUUUACUACAUGGCAGCCGAGUUGGUCCCCGUGAAAUAUUUACUGCUUACAAGGGUUAAAAGGAUUGAGCACGUGCGAUGUGUGUACACGGCGUAUGCUCGGGACGGCCGCUUCUAAAAAAGGAUGUUGCUGAGGCCAUUUGUGAGACGUGAAUCAAAGCUGAGUCUGAGCUCAAACUAUUACGUUAUUGCUGAUUUCCCAAGUUUGACCAUCGAACUCUCAUAAGGAGAACGUCCUUAUUUUUAUGAAACACACGCUGGAGUAUUUAGGGGUCGAGGGACAUUAUAUCUGCAAUUUAUUCUCGAAGGUUCAGAUUUCACGUGAACACACACAAAUACAUCCUGAGAGCGAGCGAGAGGCAGGCUAUGAGCCACUGUGGUAAGAUGUCGGCACCGGGGACCCCGGACGGGGGAAAGGCACCUGGGAAUUCUUUGUGUUACUUCUGCAACUUUUCUGUAAGUUUCAAAACAUCAAAGUAAAAUGUCAUUUUUCCAAAGGAAUUCAGAAAUAAAGCGGUCAGGGCGAGACAGCAGCAUCGGCCGGCACCUCCUUCUGCCGUGUCCGAUGGUAGAAUCACCACCCGAGCGGGCCCUUGGGGGCCCAGGGAGCUGUCCGCGUCACUGAGGGAGGGGAGAGGCUUCUGGACCUUCUUCCCUGGCUUCCGCCAAAUAAUACUCAGCUCCCAGCCCGGCCCGGGCGGGCUUGCUGGCCCCUUCCAGGGACACGUGCAUGGCAGCCACCAGAGGGCGCCCUCCCAGGGGACCGCCCGGGGUGCCAGGCCGCAUAGCUCGGCGGUGUGCUGGCUGGACUUUUCAGGAAAUCUGAAUGCCACGCAUACCUUUCCUUUCUCUGUGGGCAGGCAAGAUGGGUCACGUUCCUCUGAAGUCCGCUCAGCCCUGGGCCUCAGACCUCACCAGCUGCCUGGAUCCGGAAGGCUCCAGCCGGGCGGCUGCGGUCAGGACGGCUCAGGUGGGGUCUGAGGCUGGCGGGACGGUGUCACCGCAUGGGCAAGCCCGGGAAACCAUCACUGAGCCGGGCACAGGGUCGAGCUCAUGCAGCUGUGGAUUCUGGAGACCCGUGGGGACGGGCCCAGGGCCGCUGGUACGACCUCCCUUUCCUGAGCAGCCCCGGAGGGCGGGGGGAGCUGGGCGCGGGCCUGUCACCCAUUGCACGCGGUCUCCCUCACAGCGCCCAGCACGAGUCCUCAGGACGGCGGCGUCUGCCUCGUCCGUCCACUCGCUCCUCCCUCCCUCGUUCACACGGCCGCUCUGACAUCGGGACUCCGGGGCACAGACUGCAGUGACGGGCACAGCGGACGUCCGGCAGGCGAGCCUGGCAGGCUCCCCGAGCCGCAGACUCGGAGACGGGACCGGCCUGCGGGAGGCGAGUCAGGGCCUUGGGAUCCUCGUGCGAGACAAGAAUGGGAGGCGGCAGGGCUGGGCCCAGGACGGCCUCGAGGGGCAGUGCAGACUCUGCUGGACCCUUACAGAAAGUUCUGGAGCUGGGACGGCCCCUCGGAGCUGCUCUGCUUGGCACGCAGGGGGCUGACCCUGCAGCCAUGAUGCCCGCUCCCUUCUCAGCCGGCCUCCAGCCUGGGGGGCGGGGAGAGGCCUUGGGCAGCAUCGCCGGCUGUGGCCGCAGCCCCUCUGUCUCCCAGUCCUGCCAGACAGACCCACUUCCAGUCUCUGCCGGGUCACCGCUGGGUGCCCCCACCCCCUGCUGACCUUCACCUCUGGCACCCAGGGAGGCGGAGGUGCCUCUGAUCUCGGGCGGGCUCUGCAGCCCCUCGCUCGCCGUUAUAACCACGCAGUCCCUGGGUCCCGUGUUUUAACGCCGGAUUUGGCGGUUCUGUGCCGCCGGGAGGCCCUGCCUGAUACGUAAGGUGAACGGGCUCCUUAAAAGAAGACAGGAAAGGUGUCAGCACGGAGGUUCUGCAGAGUAACCAGCCUUGAGUGCCCGACCCAAACGCCGGGGGAUCAGAGCCGGGGGACCACAGCCUGCCCCUGCCGUGUUUAAGCGGGCGGACCGCCGCGGCUGCCAGGCCGUCCAGCUCCGGGGGUGGCUGCCGGCGAGCUGAGGCAGGGAGGCUGUCGGCACUGGGGAGCCCCUGGCCUGUGAGGCCCAGACGCGGAGACUCAAAAUGAACAUCUUAAACGCCCGAGUUCCCUCCUCCACACGCAGUACGAAGCCCUUUGCGUUUUAUGAGAAAACAGACUUGUAUUUGAAAAAUAAACUCGAGUUGCUGGGAGAGGGAGGAGGAGCCGUGUACGAUCCAGUAUGGAGGUGGAGAGGAAGGACCAGAAGGUUCCCAAGGGAAAUACAGGUCUCUGGAAAGCGCGCUCGAAUUUCGCAUGGCUCUCGGGACAUCCUCUGGCACGGCCCCCGACGGGCAGCAGGGUUGAAAGGGCGGAGAGGCAGCGAGGGGACAGAUCUGGCCCGUGCCAGGAGCGCGGCCGCCCACGGGGACUCUCAGUUUCUUAAUUUAACUGAACAGAAAAUGAAAUUUCCUUGAGUGUUCGAAGCCCACGCGACCUUGGUCAUGGUUGUGAGCUGGUCCCGACGCCGACCGUCCCACAUCUCUGGCAAAACCCCAACAUUCCUCUGGCACCCCCCACCCCCCGAUCCUCUGUGCCCCCAAAGUUCCCAGCCCGGCUUGCUUCCAGCCGUGCCAGCCAUCGUCCUGCUGCUCGUGACCACGGAGGGCGGGAUUUUCCGCAGUGCGGUCGCGACCCCACCCCUGCGUGCCGACUGCGUGGGUCAGAGAAAGCGCCCUUUUAAAACGAGUGGGAGUCACGGAGAGCAGAACGCGCCGGCCGGGGCAGACGCUGGUCCGUGAGACACGGCUUCCAGCCGCACGCGCUGGCGCCGGACGCCGACGCGCACGGCAUUCUCACCGGGGGCUGAGGUCGGAAAGGCCUGAACCACCGCCGGGAGCAGCUGCCAGGCCUCGUUCGAACACUCCGAGCCGGGCGCGGCCUUUGCCGGCUGACGUGGGCUCUCUGAGUCCUGGGGGACGCUGGCACAUUUUCCUUCUUGCCUGUCCCUCAGAUACCAUGGCUGUGACCUAGAGUAGCCCUCGGUGUAAUCAGAGUAGGUGGCUGUCCGGGUCAGCGAUUUUCAACACCUUUUUUCUAGUAGGACAAAGAUAACGUCCCCGUAGCCCGCGGGGCUGACUUCCGUCGGUAGCGGUCACUCGGUGUGGACUGCUGCCCACGCAGACGAGAUGCUAUUUCUUGCUCAGUGGGGGCCAGGUGGCAAAAUGCCUGGUGUCUCAGUCCCUGAAAGCCAUCGCCGCAUGACCCUGGGGUUCUGGACAGAUGACCGCUUCCAAAAGGUAUCCGUCACAUCUGGCUUAACGUUCGGAACCCCUGCUCAGUUACACAGCGAACGUGCCAGCCGCCCCCGAGUCUGCAGCCUCAGCUCUGUCCGUCACGGCCAUCCCUCCAGCCCGAGCGCCUCUGCCAGGGCCGCCCCUGAAAGCCGGCAUCAGCCUGAGGGAGGAGGGGGGCCCUGGGCACCGGGAUUCUGCCCCUUCACAGUCGUGACGACGGCCAGCCCCUUCCCUGCAAGUUCCCGCCACUUCCCAGCCACCCCUCACCCGGAUGCACGUGCAGAGCCAGACGUGAGCCCAGCCCGGGGCCUGGGCCCUUCCCAGGGAGGGCAGUGCUCAGAGGCCUUGGGCUCGGGCGGCUCAAGGCUCUGCCCGGUGCUGGGGACCAGAGUGGGGGAGCACGCAGUAGGCACGUGACAUGGCCAGCACACGACUUCCCACGAGGCAGAAGCAGAGAAGCACCCACGAGGAACACAGCCUGUGCGGGCACCUGAAAUGACGGCAGACCGCCCCAGGCAGGUACCAUCAGUAAGGCUCUCAGGGAGCGCUGGCCUGAGAGCUCCGUCAUGAUUCCCGUACGACCCUUGCAGUCCUGACCUGAUAACCGGACACUGACGGUGGCGACGGCGGCAUCGUAUGAAGGGGUCAGGUGACUUUGUGACAUCGACAGGACGAGUCACUCGAUACUGUUUUUGAGCGCCUACUGUGUGCAGAGCCCACAGGGAACAAACGCACCUCCAGGAACUGUGAUAAGCAGCGAUUUCAGACUCAAUUUCGUCUCCCUUUUCUGUGACGCCACAUACACGGCCGCAUGAUAGAGCUCAAACGAAACAUUCGGCCCACACGAGAGUCUUCUAGAAAGGACGCAGAGACGUGUCAUCAAGUGAAUGUGGGCGGAGGGGGGAAGCUGCAGAGCUGUGUCUUUGCUCCUUCAACGUCACUAUGGCUGCACAACUGUACUUAUCAAAAUCCGGUUCCUUUCCAAGGAGCGGGGCUUGCAAGACGACUCUCGUCAAAGAGAGAUGCUGCAGCAGACAAUGGCAGGGUGGCGUGUAGGCGGGAAGUGAGGCCACGGCAGGAUUCGCUUUCCAGAGACCCGUCUCCUUCCAGGGGUCAGCAGUGGUCUCCCGGACCUGUCACUCAGGGUUGUCUGCAUGUGACUCUCUUCCAAACCACGUUUCCUGGCUGCGGCCCAGCGGCUCGUCAGCACCUGUCUGCAGGGACUCAAAGGACCCUGGAGAGAACUCGCAGAGACCCCAAGCUGGAGUCUGUGGCUGGAGCUGGAGCGUUUGUUUUUCACGUUUACGUUUUCGAGGUGGUCAUCUUUACGCGGUCAGUUUUUGGUUCGUCUUUCCUGUGUUGUCCUUGAGUUUUGUCGUGCUUAGCCGACCCGCUGACACCUCCUGGUGCGUCCAGGCAGGUGAGUGCCUUGUGGGAGAAGCAGCAGCAGCCCGAGUCUGAGAAAGCCUCGGCCAGCAGGGAAGUCACUGGUGAACGCGUGGAAGAGGGUUUGUUGGAUGCUUUCUAGGUUCCAGGCACUGUUCUAGACGCUGAGCAAGGAGCCUGUCGCAAAGCAGAGUCAUGUCCGCCUCCCCAGACCCCCCGCCCCGCAACAGAGCUCACAUUGUGGCCGGGGAAGGCAGACAAGUAAACUGGUAAAUAUAUGGCAUUUCUCAUGGAGAAAAGGCAGAGUACUUAGGAGAGAUGGCUUCUGUUUUAUAUGGCGGUAAAGAAAGGCCCUUCCGAGGGGUGGGUCCCCUGAGGAUGUCUGUGGGGAGGUGUUCACAGGGGCAGGGUGGGCGCUGGGGCUGGGCUUCUAUUCCCAAAACACAGUAACCCGCCAGCAAACGUGCCCUUCAUCUCUUCCAUCCCUGUCCCACAGUAACUGGGCUUCAGUCCUUGGUCUCCCUCUCCGAGAUGCUCCCAAAUCCUCCCGAACGCCAAUCCACCUUCCAGAAUCUUCUCUCACCCAACCCCCCAUCACGCAUCUAUGCAUUUCUUCCUUAGACAGUUCUGUGCCCUACCUGCCAUGACCCACCUGCUCUCCUGUGCCCAGAUCCAUGGACCAAAAACUCUGAGGACGAAAGCCAUGGACCUCCAGGGACGACGAGAAAGGCUGUCGACAGUCAUGUUGUGUUUACAAACAUAUUUUUUGCGCUCUUUACAAAGGUCUGACACUCCGAGAUUGAGACAGUCACCCACUUCGGGGACAUUUAAAUAACAUUUAAAGCUUUAUUCCAUAUGGAAAUUAUUUCUGUGUAAGGAAUGACUAAGGUGCCAAAUGGCUAGCUAGCUGUCCUAUCGUUGGCUUUAUAUUCCUAAAAUUCACCCUUUAAAGUGGAGUCUUCCCAUCUGGGUUAAAAGCAGAUUUGGGAGUUAGACCACCUGAGUUCAAAUCUUGGUUCUGCCACUUAUGAGCUGUGUGGUCUUUGCUCAAUGACUCACCCUCUCUGAGGCUCAGUUUCCAUUUUGAUGAAAACAGUAAAAAUACUACUUCAUAGAGCUUUUAUAAAGAUUAAAACAAUCAUCACAUAUGAUGCAAUUAGACUGCACACAGUGGCAGGUAUAAUUAUGUAUGAUUAUUAGGUAUAAUGUUUUUAGUAUUAUAAUUACUGCCAAUGAUUACGGAGCACAGUUGAGUAACAUGAAACAAAAUCCUUCUUAAGGUUCUGCCUUGCUGACUUGCAAGAUUUCUGCUUUAAAAAAAAACACUUUAAUUUCAUUAUUUGUAGUUUAUAAACUCACGGACAUACAUUUGCCUUUCGUCACCUCUAAAGCAAGCUCAUCCUAAAUCAAGCUGAGAAAACAUCUUUCGAGGAUAAGGAUUCACUGUUCUGGAAGCUUCUACUGUCACAUGGCCACUUAAGACUAACGUGAACACUUUAGACUCUGUGGGCCACGUGAUCUCUGCAGAAACAAAUGGGCCUGUUUCGAUGACACUUUAUUUACAGACACAGGUGGCAGGCCGGAUUUUGUCCUCAGGCUAUAGUUUGCUGACCACUGUAUUAGGGGAAGAAGCAGAAAAGUGGGUUAUGGUUUUGGUCGAGGUCACUGACCCUGAUCGUCAAGGGCAAGCCGGCUCGUGAAAACCCCAGAACACCAGAGACACGUCUUGAAUCAACAUGCCACUGGGCCAGUCGACCAGGGUAAAUACUGAGGGACGGUAGCCACUCCACACGAGCAGACCCUGCAAGAGAGGAAAUCCUUCCAGAACAAAGCUUCGGCCCUGCUCCCUGGGCACGGGAGGCCGCCAGCCUCGGUAGCUGCUGGUCUCAAGACUAGGCAUGGCACCUGGCACCGUGCCUGCCACCCGCAUCCCCGUUCUCACUCUCGGAGUGUCUGAGGCUGAACUGUCUCCUUUUCCUUUCUUAUUUCUCCUUUGAAAACAGUCGUGCUCACAAGUCCCCGCUCCUCUCCUUCCUUCUCCCUAAUAACAGCUGAUGGUUUUAUCGAGCUUGCGUAUGCAUCGGAGCAGGCCUGGCUCCCUCCCUUCCUGAACUCCAUAAAUGGCCCCAAAUCCUUCCAAAAGAUUAUCAUCUUCAUCGUAAAAACGGUCAUGUGAAAGUAAAGGACAGGGACCACAAACGAAUUCGGAAAUAUGCCCCUCACAGAAAUCCGGUUCUAAGGUUUCCAGCAGGCAAUGCGGACAGGAAACACCGGGCCAUUUUGUCAUCGGUGUCCCCUAUAGACGAAACAACCCAGCUGCUCAGAAGUCCAGCUUUCCUUGAUGAUGAGAUUUCUCCCGGGGGCUGGUGUAACGACAGUGUGUUCACGACCCCUUCCGACGGACACGGCGGCUGAAGGCCCUCCGCACAGGCCGACGGCACCGCUCCCAAGGUCAACCUUGUGAAACUGGCUCUGGGGCAGCAGGGAGUAAUACCGAGUCUGGGCACCUUGAUCCGGGAACAGACUGAGGCAGAGCAGAAAGACUGUGUGCCCUCCACUCACGCCUGGAGAGUCAGGUGGCAGGGGCCCAAGGGGCCUCCCGGUGAUGGCCCCGCCUUCGCACCUCACCGACGACAGGGCUGGGCUAGUCGGUUUCUACUCGGGGCAAGUCGAGGACCCGGGCUGGCUGGUUCAAGGGUGACGGCACAGGCAGCUGUUCUGGGCCAGGCCCACGCUGGUCUGACCAGCAGCCGGCCACUCCGGGGUCCUCCUGAGCCCAGCCCAUGGCUGCCUCCACAGAUGGCAGAGAAGAACCUUAACCAGCAGCCCACCCCAUGGCACCCGACCAUGACAGACCGCUGAAACAGGCUAUGUUCUAGCCAAGGACAUUGAAGGGCCCUUUAAAACGCCGAACUGAAGAAGGCAGCGUGGGCUCCUGCUGCCCGUUCUCGGUACCCACAUCCCUCCCGAAGGCCGCCUCAGGCCGCCCCUUCACAAACAGCCCUGGUAGGCUGGCCACCUGACACCAGUAUCCCCUACGGCCCAGCCCGGGACAGGAACUGGGUCUGGGCUUCUCCUAAGACCUGUGUGCCAGGGUGAAAAGUGUUCUCCCCGAAUUCAUGUCUUCUUAGCAACCUCGGAGUGUGUGUGUGACCCUACUCGGAAAUAGGGUCGUUGCAAACGUAAUUCACUGAGAUGACGCUGGAGUAGGGUGGGCCCUCAAUCCAAUUUGACCGGUGUCCUUACGUGAACAUGAAGACCACCACGUGACGACCGAGGCGGAGACCAAAGCGAUGCUUCUACAAGCCAAGGGCCCCCCAGGAUGGCCAGCCACACCAGAAGCCAACAAAAGCACGGGACAGACACUUCUCUAGAUUCUUCAGAGGGAGCACGAUCCUCCGGACACCUGGAUUGUGGACUUCCGGUCUCUAAAACUGUGAGAGAGUGAGUUUCUGCUGUUUAAGCCACCCGCUUUGGGGUACUUUGUUAUGGCCACCCAGAAAACGAACAGCCUUGACCCAUCGUAGCCAACGCACGCGUGAUGCUACCUCUGAAGAAACAGGACACUCAGAUGCAGGCGAUGAUGGAAUAUUGGAGCAUGUCAGGGUCCCCGUCACGGAAGCUGGGAUGCUCCCUAGAACAUUGGAACGUCAGUGCUGGGACACACCUGUCCCCUCAGGCUUCACAGGUAUAGUUCUCAACUCCAUGUCACCUGGUCACGUCAGCCAUGACAGCUACUUUGUCAUACGACAUUUAUGCAUUUACACUUAGGUCCACUCAUGGUGGGGGGUGACUUUAGGGGUACUAGGAACAAUACCCCACACCACCAUAAAAAAAUUAAAGAAAAGAGAGAAGAGAGACACCCCUACCCUUUCCUUCUAAGUCACAGAGGCUGAGACUGCUUUCUGUGGCCUGGCCUCGUGGGUCACCUCCUGCACUGACCUGCAGGUCUCGACGCCAGUGCAGCCUGGACAUAAAAGCAGACCCCGCUCCCCAACUCCCGACGCCCACGAGCAAGGCUGUUCUCUAAGUCACCGUCUCCCUGAAUAAAAACUUUCUACGCUGUCAGAGCUGAGGAGAGCAGAGAGAUGCACCCAGACACAGGAGAGGAGAAAGCGAACUCCCCCCGCUUCAGAGUCCGCCUGGUAAAUGUCCAACUAGGACCAGUGGCGCUCAGCUGAGAGUAUUUUACACUUAGAUCACGAAUACCCACGAGCCUAAAGAACUCUGCCUGAAACACGCAUUUCCUUCCCGAUUCUCCAGCUAAUGAACCCCCGUUGCCCGGGGUCGAUCUGCCAGAAACAGGUACAGUCAAGUCCCCCGACCCCAAACCACAGGCCCUGGGGCCAGGCCCGAGCGAGGGAAGGCGGGAGGCCCUGCCUCGGUAGCGGGGGCCUCCUCAGGGGCCGCAGCGCACCAGGUGGGUUAGUGCAGGCGGAAUGUGACACAUGGACAGGUGCGUUCCCGGGGGAGAGACGCAGACACGUGCACCCAGCACCAGGUCGCGAUCAGCCACCGGGCCAGCUCCGGCGCCCUUGCCGGUGGCACCGUGGCCAAGCGGCCACAGGGAAGGUCCUCAGCAGCCCGGCACCCACCUGCAACGAGAGU